GUGGGGAAUUUUUCGCAAUGGGCGCAAGCCUGACGAAGCAACGCCGCGUGGAGGAUGAAGGUCUUCGGAUUGUAAACUCCUGUCGACCGGGACGAAUGCACCCAACCUAAUACGUUGAAGUGUUGACGGUACCGGUGGAGGAAGCCACGGCUAACUCUGUGCCAGCAGCCGCGGUAAUACAGAGGUGGCAAGCGUUGUUCGGAAUUACUGGGCGUAAAGGGCGCGUAGGCGGCCCUAUAAGUCUCGUGUGAAAGCCCUCGGCUUAACUGAGGAUCUGCACGGGAUACUGUAGGGCUCGAGUUCGGGAGAGGAAAGCGGAAUUCCGGGUGUAGCGGUGAAAUGCGUAGAUAUCCGGAGGAACACCAGUGGCGAAGGCGGCUUUCUGGACCGACACUGACGCUGAGGCGCGAAAGCUAGGGGAGCAAACGGGAUUAGAUACCCUUGUAGUCC
rnacentral:rRNA from 1 species